CUUUGGAUCGGCUACAAGGGGAAGAACAAAAGAAACGGCUGGAGAAGUUAAUGCCCAGGACCAUGACAGUUAGGGAGUGGGAAGAGUUUGUGAAACAUGUAGACUCUAUUGAAUUCAGAGUCAGAAGAAUAAAAAUGCAAGAAAAUCGUUCAAAACACACCACCCCACAUACCAUAAGUCGAGAAGGUUACGCCCGAUUGGAGGUGAAAUUGCAAGUUGUUAAGCUGGUACAAGGAGGACGAGGUGGUUGCAGAGGCUGAAAUUGCUGAAACAGAUCCAAGUAAGCAGAUACAUGGAAAACCAAUCGGUCUUGGAGCCUACACUGUAUGU